rnacentral:tRNA from 1 species
AGCCUCGAGGUGUUUACACAUCAAAAUGCAAGUUUGAAGUAGGGCCCAAUUGAGCCCCGGGGCUU